rnacentral:rRNA from 1 species
CGCUGGCGGCGUGCUUCAUACAUGCAAGUCGAACGAGAAGUUACCUUCGGGUGAUGGAAAGUGGCGGACGGGUGAGUAAUGUGUAGAGAAUCUGCCCUUUAGUGGGGGACAACAGUUGGAAACGACUGCUAAUACCCCAUAUGCGCGUAGCUGAGAUGCUAUUCGUGAAAACUCCGGUGCUAAAGGAUGAGUCUGCAUCUGAUUAGCUAGUUGGCGGUGUAAUGGACCACCAAGGCGACGAUCAGUAGCUGGUUUGAGAGGAUGAUCAGCCACAAUGGGACUGAGACACGGCCCAUACUCCUACGGGAGGCAGCAGUAGGGAAUUUUGCGCAAUGGGGGAAACCCUGACGCAGCAACGCCGCGUGAUUGAAUAAGCCCUUCGGGGUGUAAAGAUCUGUCAGUAGGGACGAAACUUGACGGUACCUACAGAGGAAGCAUCGGCUAACUCCGUGCCAGCCGCGGC